AUCAUACUCCCUCCAUCCCAAAAUUCUUGUCUUACAUGUAUUCAGGUAUGAAUGUAUCUAGUGACGCUUUAGUAUUUAGAUACAUUCACUUAGAGAUAAAUCUAAGACAAAUUUUUUGGUAUGGAGGGAGUAUAUC
rfam:Hordeum vulgare subsp. vulgare, WGS project CAJW01000000 data, contig: morex_contig_1572732